UAGGGAAUCUUCGGCAAUGGGGGCAACCCUGACCGAGCAACGCCGCGUGAGUGAAGAAGGUUUUCGGAUCGUAAAGCUCUGUUGUAAGAGAAGAACGUGUGUGAGAGUGGAAAGUUCACACAGUGACGGUAACUUACCAGAAAGGGACGGCUAACUACGUGCCAGCAGCCGCGGUAAUACGUAGGUCCCGAGCGUUGUCCGGAUUUAUUGGGCGUAAAGCGAGCGCAGGCGGUUUAAUAGGUCUGAAGUUAAAGGCAGUGGCUUAACCAUUGUUCGCUUGGGAAACUAUUAAACUUGAGUGCAGAAGGGGAGAGUGGAAGUCCAUGUGUAGCGGUGAAAUGCGUAGAUAUAUGGAGGAACACCGGUGGCGAAAGCGGCUCUCUGGUCUGUUACUGACGCUGAGGCUCGAAAGCGUGGGGAGCAAACAGG
rnacentral:rRNA from 1 species